CGUUAGCGGCGGACGGGUGAGUAACACGUGGGUAACCUACCUAUAAGACUGGGACGACUUCGGGAAACCGGAGCUAAUACCGGAUAAGAUAUCGAACCGCAUGGUUCGAUAGUGAAAGAUGGUUUUGCUAUCACUUAUAGAUGGACCCGCGCCGUAUUAGCUAGUUGGUGAGGUAACGGCUCACCAAGGCAACGAUACGUAGCCGACCUGAGAGGGUGAUCGGCCACACUGGAACUGAGACACGGUCCAGACUCCUACGGGAGGCAGCAGUU
rnacentral:rRNA from 1 species